CCCGGGUCCCGCCAAGGCCGGGGACGGGAAGCGGUCUUUGCAGAGCGGCGCGGGGAGUCGGGGUCCCGCCCCUGCGGGAGGAGCUAGGCUGGGCCGCCGGGCCGGCCAAUAGGACGGCGGGGACGCCGCGCAACGUGGAGCCGGAGCGAUGUAAACAGCCGGGCGGCGGCGAGCCACGUGCGUCCGCGAGCGCUCGCCGGCUGAGGGUCUUCACCAUGGCCUUUGUUCAUCUCCAGUUCCUUUGGGCUUCCAGCACGGACCCCUGGCUACCUGACCCGGACUCGAAGUGGACUCUGCAGUGAGCUGCAGGCCCUUGAUUCGGUGGAUCCUCCAGCUCUCCAGCAUGCAGGUGGCUGUUUUGCAGUCUUCCACACAUGGCUCUGGGGCAGCCACUGUGUGAACCUCACUGGCUCAGAGGUCACUGCACAGAACUUGAUCAAAUCUUGCCUUCUGCCCAGGAGGAACGACUUUCCAGGCUAGCCAUCGUGUGGCUUUGAGUAAAAAAAAUCUUACAGUGGAAGGUACACAGCCCCAGAUUUCACAGUAGAAAUGCAGUGAAACAUUCUUUGGUCAUCAGAUAGGCUGAAUAGGUACCUGUGCAUAUGUAUCUAUGUGGAGAGAGAGAGAAAUUGAGAUUUCGUGCUGGGAAAGGGUAAGAAGCCCUGCCUGAGCAGCGUAUCUCAAAAUAAAAACGGAGGGAAUGUAGCAGUGUGAGAGUGAGUAAACAGUACUGACACGUUGCCGUUGUGAGUGGAUUGCUGUAUGUUUUGGGAUUCGCCUUGGUGUCUGUGGAAAUAAAAAUGCAAAGAUUAAAUUCAAUCAUGUCACUUCCAUUUAUCCUAAGAAAUCAAGGUUUUCAUUUACAAGAAUCAUAUUUAAAAAGGUUUACAGGUGUUUUAUUUAUAAUAGCAAAAACCUAAAGACAGUUUAUGAGGAAAUAUUGAAUAUGGUUCAUCUGGAAGCUAGGAUAUACCAAGGAGCUUUGUUUCUUUGUUGUUAUCCUUCUUGUUCUUGUUUUGCUUUUUUUUUUUUUUUUUUGUCUUUUUCCUUUUUAUCGGUACUGGGGAUGGAACUCACGACUGCCCACUUACAAGGCAGGCGCUUAUGCCGCUGAGCUAAAUCCCCAGCCCCUGUUUUGCUUUUUUGAGACAGUCUGUUACACAAUUUACCCUGGUCUUGAACUCACUGUGUAGUCCAGGCUGGCCUCAGACUCAUGAUCAUCCUGCUUCAGCCUUCCAAAUGCUGGAAUUACAGGUAUGCGCCAUUACACCUGGCAUAUCGUGCCCCUUUUAAAAACAUUUUUGUAGAAUUGGAAAUCUCUACAGUGUAGUGGUAGUUGGCAAAUAAUAUUAAUGCUAUGAUCUUACUUUGGGCAGGGGAGGAAAUCUUUGUACAUGAUUAUGAUUAUUUGAGUCUGGAGAAAGAAGUAGCAGGAUGCCACCGCCAUUAUUAAAGUGCAUUUUCCGGAAGGAUGAGUGCUGUUUGACUUGUUGUAUUGAGAUUUUUAAAACAAACUAUUUACUACCAGCAGCGCCCCCGGUGCUUUUAAAGACAAAGUAAGUCUAACAAGGCUCCAUGGGGCUCUCUGGCACCUCAGUUUCAGUUACCACUAAUCCUGCAGAUAAGUAGCAAGGCAGGAAGUGGGCCUCUGAACAGCCAAAACAGCGGUCCAAAGCUCAGGCUUUGGCUGGAUCCUCCACCUUUGUCUUAAACAGCCCAAAGCAGCUUUUGCAGGCUGGGCACAUUGGUGAGGAUGCUAUCAGCAGUGACUGCGGUCUGAGUCCAGGGACACGAGGAAGAUGAAGACAGGGAUACUAGGGUCCUGGCCGCCGGGGCAUCUCAGGAAGUACCUGCUCUUCAUGGUGACAAUGCCGACUUUUGGGGGAGAAACAAAUCUGUUCCCGUGUGAUCUUGUAAAGGCUUCCCGAUUAGAGUGUGACACCAUCCAAAAGUAUCCCACCAGACACAACAGUCUCUCUGCUUUGUUGCCUAAAAUGUAAGUGCUUUUUCUGUCAUUGCCAGAAUAUAGCUGUGGUCUGCACUGUGAGCGAGACAGAGUGGCUGUCUACAUUUACAAGUUUGUAGAGCAGGUGUGACAGUGUGAGAAGUUACUCAGAAAUGGAAUGAUUUCCUCCAAGGGCAUUGUUUGCUCUUUGGGUAAAGAAAGGUCCAUCGUCUGUUAUCAGAAAUCUUUGGGACCUGAUGACUCUUGGAACUGAGAGACUUUUAGUUUUUGAAAGCUGGCAGGCACAUGUAUGUGCUGUGUGUUGUAUCAUAAUUAAACACUCAUUUCUAUAGUGAAGUUUUGGAAACACUAGUUAGGACACAUACUGUAUAGUUUAUUUCAAUAAUAAACUGGAAAGUUAAAUAAAUACAGAUUAGAAAUACUAUAGUAAUCUGGUCUCUGAGAAAAACAUUUUGUAAAGAUUUAAAUAUAAACAGGUUUAGGUUUAGCUAACUGUGCCUGUGCACACAGACCAUGAACAGUGACCUGCUGUGGUUCGCCUGCAUCCCAGAGGACAGGCGCACAGGCCUGCGGCCAGUGGGAGCCAGGAAUGGAUGCCAGCUGCAGCAGAAUUAAGGUCCCGCUCCAACACGUGCCCUUGUUAGGGGCUUCCUUCCCCUUGUCAUGUGGUUCAUUAACGGUUUUCAUCUGAGCAGUCCCAGAUCCUCCUGCCUCAGCCUCCUAAGUGCUGGGGUCACAGAUGUGUACUACCAUACCCAGCUGGCAGUCCUUCGAUUGUGAAAACUGCCAUAAAUUCAUGUUUGCUGACAAAUGUGCAGUUAAGGCCAGCCUUUGACUGCUGACAUUUUCACUGUAUCAUCUGGUUUUUUCCACCCGUGUUUAGUUUCUUCUUCUUCUUCUUCUCCUUCUUCUUCUUCUUCAUCAUCAUUCUGGUGAUUAUCCAUGUUUAAGACCACUUUACAGUUUCCCUGCUUAAGAUUUGCACAGCAGAAAUGUCAAAGUGGAAUUUUUCCUUUUGCUCUUUUUUUUUUUAAUGUCAGCUUUAUGCUUUAGCUGAUAAGCUUUCAACAUAAAAUAGUGAUCUUGUUAGUGAUAGGAAAUCCUUCAAAUCUUCAUCUGUAAUUGUCAUUUCAAACAUCACAGUAAGCCAGGGACCAUACUAAGCAUUUUAAAAAGCAGACUUUCAGUUUUGAAGUAGAUUUACAGGAAGGUUGCAAAGGUAAUUUGUUCUCACAUAUCCCACACCUGCCUUCCAGUGCUGAGCAACACGACACAUACGUUAAAGCUCAUGUUAGCAGGGAUGCAGUGCUGCCGGCUGUGGUCCAUCCUCCAGCCGUUUCCCACCGUGGCCGUGCUGCUGAGGGCUGCCCUGGGCGCUCUGUUGCAUUUCUUCACCUGUCUGCUCACCACCUCCAUUCGUGGCGGCUGGUCAGUGUUUCCUUGUUUUCAUGACCUGAAAUUUGAGUAGAACUGGUUGGGUCUCUUACGAAAUGCGAUUUAACUUGAGUGUCUGAUGUUCUCGUCAUUCAUCUGGGGCUCCAUUCACAUCAGUGUCAAGCGUUUGUUUCAUUUCCCUUUUUUAUUUCUGCAGUGAGGUCCUGUAGGUGCUCCGUAAGCACUCUGCCAUUGAGCUGCAUCUUCUGCCCCACUGCCAGGUGUUUUGUGUCUGUCUCUCUGGUACAGAGGAUUCUGGCAGUUGAGCCCAUAGCCUCUAGGCAAGUGCUCCAGGCCUCUUUAUUUGAGGUAUUGUCAAAAUGGCCCUGUGCCGGCCUCCAGUUGCAAUCCUCCUGCCUCUGCCUACCAAUUAUGUGGGGUUACCAUGCACAUGCACAGUUGCCAAAUAUUUUAAACGCCAAGUUAUUAUCAUUCCAAACCUUAGCACCUGUGUUAAUGGUGUCCAGAAAACAGAACUUUUCCAUUCUCAGAGCAGCAAGCACGCAUCUAGGACAGUUUUUGUUUUCUCGAUGUUUGCUUGCUCUUUGUGGAGGGUAAAAGCCCACACUGGCAUCAUAAGCAGUUUAGGGUGGCCUAUAUGGCACGCUUCUGUAGGAGGAAAAACGUGUGCCAGGCCUAUCCCUAAAUCGGGCCAGGCUGCUGCUGCUGUUGAUGAGAGGUCUUCAUGUGGUUACCCACGUUCCGUUUGCAUAAUAAAGCCCAGGUAAAUGAUGUGUGGGUGCCAGAAGUCUGGGACUCUCUCUUUGCAAUCCCUGCUAAGUUUACCAAAUAUGGCCAGCGACAAGUGACUGCUAUGAGUUAGAGCCAGAAUGUUGCAAAGGCCUUGAUGUGUUCUGAGGCGGAGCUUCUGGAGGGCAACUGAGUCAUGGCAUGCUGUGUUUACCAGUGGGUUCAUCUGUGGCUGAGUUCAGAGCCAACUGCACUGUUAGGAGGUGGGGCCUGGCAUAGAAGGGUCUCUGUCCCCAGCUCCUCUCUUCUCUCUGCUUCCUGCCCACCAAGACAUGGGCAGCUCUUCUCUCCCCAGCCCUGCCUGCUGUGGAGCCGGCAGACUGUGACCUGAAACCUCUAAACCAUGAGCCCAAAUAAACAUCUCCUUUAAACUGUGGGUGCUGGGUGUGUCUACCACGUGCCACACCCCAGAGCAGUCAGCCUGAUGUUGCUUAAGCCUGUUCUAGCAUUGUCAGUUCACUCAAGCCAGGUUUUCAUCAGACUGAUGAGUGUGACUUUCCCACGCAUCUUGACCGUAGCAACCAUCCAUUCCCAUUUUAUUUUCAGACUGUUUUGUGGAAUGCUGCUUCUCAAAUUUCUACAGCCAGCUUAUAUGAAUCUUCACCCAUACCUUCAAGGUUCAGUUCUUUGAGAUUCAGUAUUUAGAUACAGUGUAUGUUCACUUGUCGAAUUCACCCACCAGUGUCUGGUGAAGAGCUUUGAUUUUUGUUCUGUGGAGUAUUUUCUUACUUUCAUUAACUUGUUUAUCAUCACUGUAAAAUUUGAUUUCCUUUUUUAUCAUUUACUUAUUUAUUUUUUGACACUGGCUUGCACUAUUUAGUUUAGCCUGGCUUUGAACUUACUCUGUAGCCCAGGGUGGCCUUGAACUUGAGGUCCUCCUGUGUCAGCCUCCCAGGUACUGAGAUUACAGGCUUAUGCCACGAUGACUGGCCUUUGACAUGUUUUUAUGUGGAACAUGAAAGGCUGGCAGAUACCCUGACAUCACGCUUCUGUGAUGAUAUCUCUGCACUGCAGUGAGAAGAGCUGUCUUUCUUCUUUUUAUCUUCUCACUAUUACCCUUAUGGUAUCUUUGGCUCUGUUUACCAUUUUCAUAGUUACAAAGGAACAAAAAGAAGCAACAACAUAGCACACAGCAGACAGCCGAGGAGGAAUGCUGUAAGACAGCGGAGUCUUAGGUCAGUUCAAGCCAGGCUUUGUGGCUCCAAAAGUUUUGGUGCCAGACUUGGGCACUAUCUUUUCAUCUUAACAGACACAUUUUGGAAUUGCAAAUAGGGAAUCAUGGACUGAAGUUUUGAAGAAAAAGUUUUAUAUGGUGAAUAAUCUGAGCUCCCAGAUACAUUCACUAAAUGUUUCCUGAGCACACGGACAGUGACUCCAGCUUUUCCAGCCAGAGACCCCUGUGGCCUUGGGCUGUGCGUGUGCAGCUGCCAGCCGAAGGUUUCCACUGGACAAUCAGCUUAGCCACAGUGAAAGGUCAUUUACAGAUAGUGUUUUACCUGUAUGUAUACAUUGAGACGUAAAAUUUGUUCAAUAUGAAUUUAAAAAUGUGUGUAUAUAUAUAUUUAUAAAUAGAUGCAUGAAAACAGACUCCAUGCAUAUAAUAGAUUUACCUGAAGUCCAAGAGUUUGGGGCAGCAAAUCACAGUAUUUAUCCCAAGGCUUGCACAGGAAAUGAAAAUGAAUGUUUGGUUCCUAGAAGUACAAAAGGGAGUUGUGGGUGGACCCAGAUCUAGAAAGGGACGCCGUGUGUGGUUCAGGGUUUAUCAUGGGAAUGGGUUCAGUGUGCACAUAUCUACCUGUGUACAAGGCAAAAGGCAAGUGGAAGGAAGAGCAGGACCUCAGAGGAGCGGCUGUGCAGGAGGAGGCUGGGCAGACAGGCAGAUUCACCGACUCAGUGCCGCCUCUGCCCAAGAGUGGGUGGAGCUGCACCUCCUCUGUCCUGCUGUCUGCUGUCCCUCUUCAGAGACAGAUUCUGGGUAAAGAUCUGUUUGCCGUAUUUGCUGAUGCCCCUUGAGCUAGGAGAGGCCUGCCCUAAGAAGCUUGUUAGUGAGGCAAAGGCAGACUGAGUUUAAAGGCUGUUGAGGGGCAGAGGGAAGUUGCAAGAUUGUAGAGGAGAAAUAAAGCCUCAUGCACCUUCUGCGGCCUGAUGCAAUCCUUCUGUGCAGUUUCUCAAUAGCACUUCAGCCCUGAAUCUGAGGUGGUCCUUACGAAACAGUGAGCCACUCCCUCGUACUGUGGGAUCGGUGCCGCCCACAGCAAAAAGAAAAAGAAAAAAAGCCCUUUUAUAGGGUCAUGGCGCCCUGGUUCAUCCAUGCGAGGGGAAAAGGCUAUGCCUUGGCUUGAACAUCUCGUAAAUGACCCAGCCCCACCUGUCAUCCUGAGUAUCAGCCUCUAGGGUUUAUUUAGUCCUUAGUAUUUACAUUUAAAGGAUUUACUACAGCAUAGGCCGGUGGUGGUGAACAGCUUAGAGCUUUCAGUGAUACAAAUAGCUCACUGCAGCAUGAGUGCCACACGCUCGCCACCACAGGCAUGGGCCAAAAUUUAGCGCAUUUUACCUGUUAAAAACAAAAAAUGAAGCGGGCAUGGUCGUACACAUGUGUAAUCCCAGCAGUCUGGGAACUGAGGCAGAAGGAUCACAAGUUCAAGCCCAACCUGAGCAAUUUGGUGACUUUGCAAGACUUUGUCACAAAAUAAAAAUAAAAAGGGCUGGGGAUGUAGCUCAGUGCAAAGGCCCUGGGUUUAAUCUUUAGUACUGCAAAAAAGAGCAGGGUCACAAAGAAUAAAUUUAAGAGAAAACUUCUGUGAACAGUAUAUACCAGUGUAUACAUUUCUGUAGUGAAAAGCAACCCUACGAUAAUCUCAGGAUUUUAGGCCUUGUUUAUUUUGUUUUUUUGGUCUUUUUGAGACAGGGGUUUCACUGUGCAGUUGAAACUAGCCUUGAGCUCACUUUGUAGCCCAGGCUGUUCUUGAACUUGCUGUGAUCCUCUUGCCUCAACCUCCCAAGUGCUGGGAUCACAGGCGUGCACCAUCAAGCCCAGCAUGUUUUGUUCUGUUUUUUGGUGAAUCUUAGUAACAGAAGUUUACUGGUUUAUAAAAGGAUAGCUGGAGCAAAGUAGUUCACGUGACUGCUCAGAUGUUUAGGCCUCGUCUUGCUUGCUGUCCACAGUAUCCUCAUGAGAGCUGGGAGGCGUUUUCUAACAUCUUUGUUUUAGCUUUGCAUCUUUGAGAUAGUUUAACAUCUAUAAUGUUACCACGCAGGUGUAAUUGUGAAAUAAAACCAGAAUCCUGUUUGCUUGUUUAUUUAUUUAUUUUUGUUUUGCACCAGGGUCUCACUGUGUCAUUCAGGCUGGCCUAGAACUCAGGGUGAUCCUCCUGCCUCAGGCUCCCACAGGCUGAGAUUAUAGGUGUGCACCACCAUGCCUGGCACCAGAAUCCACGUUUAUCACUCUGGUAUAUUUACCUAUAAUAGAGUAGAUGUUAAAGUAAGUUCUGUCAGAACUGACAGUGAAAUAUGCAAAAGAGUUUCUGCCAGCCAGGAUGGUUUAAGCCAGGUGUGGUGGUGCAUACCUGUAAUCCCAGCACUCUGGGAGGCCAAGGCAGGAUGAUCAGUUUGACCUCAGCCUGGGCAGUUUAGCAAGACUGUCUCAAAGUAGUGAAAAAAGGGGGCUAGAGGUGAAAGCUUUGGGUUUAGUUUCCAGUAUCACCAAUAAGUAAAAUAAAAAAUAAAAUUACUGCAGUAAAUGAUUUUUUGUAGUUGAAUUACUAAUCUUAAGUGUUGGUAGUCACAUCCCCCAAAACUGGUUUCAGAAUAAAAAUUCAGCCACAUAAUCCUUCAGUCUAAGAAAAUUUAGUUUGUUAAAGCUGUAUAGAGAUGGCGACUUUAGAAAAUAUCAAAGAAAUACACAGAUUCUACAAAAAAAAUAGGGCAAACCUUUUAUUUGGAACACAUAAGUAUGUGUCUUGUCUGUUAACCUCCAGCAUGCUAUAAGCACAUGCAUUAAAGUUGUACCAAUCUGGUUUUAAGACGGGGCACACAAUAGGUAAUUCCUCAGCUCAGUCACUUUGCUUUAAAAACCUGAAAUACAGUGACUUUGUUCUUAUGAUGUUUCCAGCAUGAGGAUCCUAGCAGAAGCCUCUUUAUGGUCCUCCUGCAGGUGAUUUGCUCUUCUCUGGGGCUGCAGGUGGAUGAUAUUAUCCAGUGCCUAUGGCCAAGUGUUUUCAGAUCAGCUAAACUUUCUUUUCAAAGUUGUUUCUUAGUCCCGAGACUUUCAGGCGUGCUCUGAAUAGGUAUUUGUGAUUUUUUUUUCCAGAAUAAAAUAGUGCCUGAUUUUCAAAACUAGGAAUUUCUAAGUGCAAUAACCCACCUCAUGGGACCACUGACAGGCCAGCCUCGUCGGGGACACUAAGCCACCCUUGACCACCCUGUGCUGUUCGAGUCCUCUGGGACCCAGGCUGGCUUUGAAGCAGAGCCCUGGCCUGACCCGCCAGUCCCCUAACUCGGUUUCCAGAGGUGCAGGCGCAGGCAGGGGGCACAGGGACGCCACCACAGUGCAGCUGUUAGCUUCUGGCGGGGUUUCGCAUCCUGUGCACCCUGACUCCUUUCUCAGCAGGCACAGUUACAGUUAGAAUGAAAGAUAGCUGCGUAAAACACCACCUCGGGAAGCUCUGCAUUGUUAGGGCAGAAUGCCUGAGGAGACCUUUCAGGUGUUUCUGCGACAGGAAUAACUUGAUUCCUGUGGUUUGGUGUGAAGGAGGACCCACCGGGAGGGUCAGAGCAGAAUGUUCCAUCUGUGUUUCGGCGUGCACACACGGAGAUUCCCCUCCCUUCCUCCCUCUGCCCUCUUUCUUCACCCAACACAGCCCGGUCUGUGCCCACGGUGUCUCCAGCCUCGUUCUAGGACUUCUUGCCUAUGUUUUGUCCUUAGUAAAUGCUAACCAACUGGUAAAAUGCAUUUCCUUUUUCGUUCUGUUCCUUUGGCUAUGACAGUAAUUUUAAUUUAAAUUAUAUUUAACUGGUAAAGCAUGUAUGGAAGCAGUUUUAUGAUACAUUUUCUUUAGAUCACUCAGUAGCAAAAGAAUUUAAUGAAAGCUGGGUGUGGCGGCACAUGCGUAUAAUUUCAGCGCUCAGGAGGUUGAGGUAGGAUUGCUGUGAGUUCAAGGCCAACCUAAACUACACAGUAGCCUAAACGACAGGUUGAGACCCUAUCAAAAAAAAGAAAGAAAGAGAAAAACUGAAGUUUUGUUCAAGUUACAGAGAAAGUAAAUUCCUUCCUCUUAGGAUUAUCCCUUCAUACAUGCAUUAUUUCCAGCUUAAAUUUAAAAAUAAAGUAUCACCCCGCUAAACAUACCAGUGCAAUGACUUGAAUAAAAAUACUGUUAAAUGACUAUGACUUCACUCCUAAUUGAAUGUUCCCUGUAAUUACUGUUCAUUGUCACUAAGUCAGACACUUUGGAAUGUCACUCUGAUUUUGUGCAGGUCGUAUGAUUUGCUGUCAUUUUCAGAGAAACCAGAGAUUCAUGGCUUCAGUCUGUCCUGCUUCCAGCUGCACUCUGUCCAUCCUCAGCCCCCUAGAGUAGCCUCCCCACGGUGGGAACCCCAGGUGGGGCCCCCCACCUGUCUCCCUCAAGCCUAUGUUUGCUUCUGCCAGAUGUCCUGGGUAACGUGGAGGGGGACAGCCCUGACUGUCUCCGUGUUCAUCCAAACGUUAGGAUUCCAUGAUUGGAAUUCACUAUGCACCACCAGCAUUGCAAACCAUCCAGCGUAGCAACAAAAAACCGAUUGCAGUGAAAAAAUUGGACCAAAAUAAACCAGAAGUUUUGAAAUUAAAAGUAGACCCAGUUCAGGAGGGGUCUCUGAGCAUGUUAUUCUUUUUUAUUAAUAAAUAAUUUUCAGUGGCCUUUUCUCUUCAGCAAGUCACCUCUUAUGUUAACAGCAUACUGUUCUCAGAGAACGUAGCUGCAAAUGGAAACUAGACAAAGGCUGCUGUAGGUUACACUUUGAUACAUAGUAAUGACACUACAUAAGGUGCCACUGUGUGUGUGUGUGUGUGUGUGUAGGAACCAUGUGUAGAGAACUCGUGGUACGGUAUUGGGAUUAUAAAAUCCUCGCUUACAGAUGAUGUCUUGUCUGUUCCUACUGUGCUAACAGUACCUGAGUCCAGGUAGUUUAUAAACAAGGGAUGUGUUACAGCCCCUGGGGGCCAGGAUCCAGUCUUCGAAGGUCGGUAUCUGGUGAAGUCUGCUGUCUGCUUUUGAGAUGCUGUCACCGGUCACCUCUGCUUCAUGUUUUAAAGGUGUUAAUCUUAUGACUUUUAGAGCUGGGGUUUGAGUCCUCCAUGGAUGCCUUUGAUGUCACUGUAUACUCACUGCUGCUGUCCAACUCCGACACCCUGGCAGAACACACGAAGUGCCCUGCAGAGCCUGCUGGCCCUGCCUACCGUGUGCCCCAGGUGGUGUCCUACACGGACCAGCAUGGGUUGUGUCUGCCGUCAGCUGUGCUGGCCUCUGUGGAAACAAACAUCUCCCAUUCCUGUCCCUGCUAGGGGCCUGGGCUGCCCUCUGUUCUGAUCCGCAUACCUGGGACAUCCUCUUUGCUCUGAGACUGCCUUCCUGAGCCGCCUCCAGUGAACAGUGAAACAUGUAUUCUCUUGUAACCAUUCUGCACUGUUUCACUAAUUCUGAUAAUAGUGUUUCCAUCUUCCUUUAGAAACCUGUUUCUCCCUCCAUGAUCCAGGCUAGUUUCCCUACCAGGAACUUCCCAGCUCAGCUGGAACUGACAAUCCAGGCCUGGCCCAUCAGAUUUGUGGGGCCUCCCUGGCCACUGGGCUGGCCCAGGAUUAGGGCUGUGCCCAGCCAAGGCCAGUGACGUGCACUGAGACUUUCUGGGGCUGCCGGGAGAGCAGCUGAGCCUCGUUUCCACCUGCGGAGUAGGGAACACGUGAAUCUAGAGCUGCGGCAGCUAUCUUCUUGCUCCACGGGUAGGAAGCUGUCAGACUAUUGAUAACAGCCAGUGUACAGUGAGGGAGGGGUAAGGUUUGCUUGCCCUUGUGACAUAAUUUAAUGUGUCUACCUUUGAGUGUCACGUGAACUAAAUUCUCUUUUUGCAUAAGCUAGUUUGGGUUGGAAUUUCUGUCACCCAUGACAAGGUUGUUGCUUUGUCCCCUUGGUUCCCAGCACAGCAGUUAGACUUUGUUACUUACAAAUUUUUUUUUUUUUUUUUUUUUUUGUACCAAGAAUCAAACUCAGGACUUUGUGUUUGCAGGCAGGCGCUGUGCCACUGAGCUGUAUCCCUUGCCCUACAACUGUACCCUUAAUGACACCCUUCAGGAACAUAGUGACUGCUGCAGUAAUGGAAGAGUGGGUGCCGCAGUGGCCCACACAGUGCUGUUCUCUGGUGAACCGCAGUGAGAGAGACGAGAGCAGCAUGGGCAACGACCUGUCUGAGCCUGUUCCCUCAGCUGGCUUUGGCAGCUUCACCUGGGAAAUGGAGAGAAAUACACAUGUUCAGGCCCUGUCCCACUUCCUGAACCAGAAUCUUUGGGGGCAGAACAAGUCUGAGCUACCUUUCUAGCCUUUUAAAAUUUGGAGACAGAGUUUUGCCAAGUCACUAAGUUACCCAGGCUGAGCUCAAACCUGGCAUCCUCCUGCUUCAGCCUCCCAGAGUGCUGGGACUACAGCAUGCACUACCACGCCAGGCCUAGUUAGGAUCCUUGAAGAGAGUAGGGAAGGGGAAUUACAGAGUCGACCCAUACACAUAAUAGCAUUGCCAAAUGAGCUCUGAGACUUCACAUGGCCCUGAUCCCUACAAGGGUGUGAUCAUUUUUCAGCAGUUAUUAGGCAGCUCCAGCAUGGAAAUAAAUCCUGCCUUCAGGUGGACUUGAGGCUGGUGUAAGCAGAGCAGGCAGGUCAGAAAGACUAUAGCCGGGUGCAGUGCACAUCCUUGUGAUCCCUACUCAGGGCGCAGAGGCAGCAGGAUCUCCAGUUCAAGACAGCCCACACAAUUUAGCCAGACUGUCAUCUUACAAAAAGGGUUGGGAAUGGAGUUUAGCCUGGAGUGCAUGAGACCCUGGCUUCGGUCCCCGGCAUGGGGGGCUGUGUUGUAUGUUCAUUUAUCUGGCAGAAAAUUCAUUGACAGUUUAUGAAGCUACCUUUAAAAAGCAACACUGUCCUGACUUCUGUAUUUUUUCCCUUGCUCUCCUCCUUGCAUGAGAGUGUGCAUGUGUGUGUGUGUGCGUGCGCGCGCGCGCGUGGUACACGCUGAACCCAGGACCUCAUGCCUGCCAGGCAAGCACUCCAUCAAGCUACGUUCUCGCCCUCGUAUUUUCUUCUAGUAAAGUACUUGCAGGGGAUGGUACUGGGGUUCAGGAACCUCCAAAUCUUGUUCACUUAAAUGACUCCUCAUUGUAGAUGGAAAAAUACCUUAAUGCACGAAUUUUACACAAGCUUUUAAGAAAGCAAAUUCAUCUUUCACACAGCAAAACUAAACAGCAAGUACGUCCCAAGUCUUACCAUAAAAAUAAAAGAAUCUGACAAAGUGCGACGUUAAAGGACAUUUUAUUUACUGACAGUAAAAACCAUAACUUCAGGCAGUGCAAAAUGCACACUGAACCCAAUUACAAAGAUCUGUGUCAAUACACAAUGUUUAAGCAAUGCUACAAUUGUUUUUGGCAAAGUGCUGUAUUGUUCAUUCUAUAAAACUGACCAUCUAUGAACCAAUCAAUAUAAAAAAUUUCUAUAAAAACAAAAAUUUAGACAGUGGCUCAAGGAAACAAGCUGCCAUUUAUGCAUAGAUUGAUGUACAGUAUACAAUCUAACCAAAUGUCCCUUUUGAGUUUUUCAAGUUGAUGAAAAAAACGUGUGUCCCGAAACACAUCAAGAAGGCACAUAGUACAACCUACAAUACUCUUCAGUCUCUGGAACUCAUGCCCUGCCCUGGAAAAGCAAAUGUGUUCACAAUUUUACUUGAAAAAAAGCCACAUAAAAAAAAACACACAGUUAUUAAUUAUAUUCAAAACUUCAGGGGAAGACACAACAAAAAACCAAACAAAACCACUCACACACUCCAAUCCUGAAACACA